UACAGAGGGUGCAAACGUUGCUCGGAAUUAUUGGGCGUAAAGCGCGUGUAGGCGGCCUGUUAAGUCGGUUGUGAAAACCCAUGGCUCAACCAUGGAAGUGCGUCCGAAACUGGCAGGCUGGAGUCCCGAAGAGGAUGGCGGAAUUCCCAGUGUAGAGGUGAAAUUCGUAGAUAUUGGGAGGAACAUCGGUGGCGAAGGCGGCCAUCUGGGAGGGUACUGACGCUGAGACGCGAAAGCGUGGGGAGCAAACAGG
rnacentral:rRNA from 1 species